rfam:Triticum aestivum genome assembly, contig: Triticum_aestivum_CS42_TGACv1_scaffold_581262_7BL
AAAGUACUCCCUCCGUCCCAAAAUUCUUGUCUUGGAUUUGUCUAGAUACGGAUGUAUCAAGUCACAUUUUAGUAUUAGAUACAUCUAUAUCUAGACAAGUCUAAGACAAGAAAUAUGGGACAGAGGGAUUAAUUG